CAAUAGCGUAUAUUUAAGUUGUUGCAGUUAAAAAGCUCGUAGUUGGAUUUCGGUUAAGAGCGACCGGUCCGCCGUUUGGUGUGCACUGGUUGGUUUUAACUUCCUGUAGAGGACGUGCUCUGGGUUUAACGACCUGGACUCGGAGUCUACGUGGUUACUUUGAAAAAAUUAGAGUGUUCAAAGCGGGCUUACGCUUGAAUAUUUCAGCAUGGAAUAACACUAUAGGACUCCUGUCCUAUUUCGUUGGUCUCGGGACGGGAGUAAUGAUUAAGAGGAACAGUUGGGGGCAUUCGUAUUUCAUUGCCAGAGGUGAAAUUCUUGGAUUUAUGAAAGACGAACUUCUGCGAAAGCAUUUGCCAAGGAUGUUUUCAUUA
rnacentral:rRNA from 1 species